UACAAGGCAGACGGCUCAGUAACACGUAGUCAACCUACCCUAUGGACRAGAAUAAUCUCGGGAAACUGRGCAUAAUUCUUGAUAGAUCAUAAUGCCUGGAAUGGUUUAUGGUUAAAAUGAUUCGUCGCCAUAGGAUGGGACUGCGGCCUAUCAGCUUGUUGGUGAGGUAAUGGCCCACCAAGGCGAUUACAGGUACGGGCUCUGAGAGGAGAAGCCCGGAGAUGGGUACUGAGACACGGACCCAGGCCCUAUGGGGCGCAGCAGGCGAGAAAACUUUGCAAUGUGCGAAAGCACGACAAGGUUAAUCCGAGUGAUUUCUGCUAAAGAAAUCUUUUGCCAGUCAUAAAACCACUGGUGAAUAAGGGGUGGGCAAGUUCUGGUGUCAGCCGCCGCGGUAAAACCAGCACCUCAAGUGGUCAGGAUGAUUAUUGGGCCUAAAGCAUCCGUAGCCGGCUYUGUWAGUUUUCGGUUAAAUCYAURUGCUCAACGYAURGGCUGCCGAAAAUACUGCAKAGCUAGGGAGUGGGAGAGGUAGACGGUACUYRGUAGGAAGGGGUAAAAUCCUUUGAUCUAUUGAUGACCACCUGUGGCGAAGG
rnacentral:rRNA from 1 species